GGCGGACUGCGGGAACCCGGGCUCGCUAGUGGCUCUGGUGGCCCCGCCAGCAGCUCCGCCUGCGGCCAGCACGCUCCCGGCACGAGAGGCUGGCUCCGGCCACUGCUCUUGCUCGGCGUGGCGCCUUUUGGGAUGGAAGAAAACUGACAGACCAAGCUGCCUGUGGACUCAGACAUUCUCUGCUCUGACUCUGAAUGCUAGACAUAAAGGAAGGCAUGUGCCAUCACAUCCAGCAGUAGCUCUGGUUUAAAGCCAUACCUAGAGCCAAAAUGCCUGCUGCUGUUAUGGGCGACGAAAACAGGAGAAUUCUGGGAAGAGGAAAGACUGAGUCUGCAGUUGUCACCCAGAUCAAGAGAAAGCAAGAUGAGACUGCCGCACUGAUAAAAGACACAUGAGGACACACUGCAUCCAAUCAAGUUAACCCCCGGUACAUUACCAGAGGAUCCCUUCUUCAAUGGACUCAGAUCUAUUCCCCCCACUGACAAAGAUCCUUCUCAGCAAAAAUCAGCUACAACACCACAGCCCGACAUUCUCUAUAGCUUCUGAGUUAGAAAUGAUAGUUUCCUGCUGAAAGACUACAUUACCCAGUUUCCCUUGCAGACUAUAGAAAUCAUUUCUGUUCUGCCCAUCCCAUCUUCCUCUGUUGGUAUCUUGGCCACCCAUACACAUGUGUGACAGUAUUUCCUCACUGUGAAUAAACAUGGUCCCACUAAGGUCAGACUAAGUCUCUUAAAAGAUCCAGUAUCUCCACAGCUGCCUAACAUUGGUCAUGAUGUCUCUUAGCAAAAGAAAAGAAACUAGAACAGAAGUUGAUACCAGGGCCUGGGAUAUUCCUGUGACAGGCCUGACCAUGCUGCUUGUUGGAACAAUGCAGACUCUGGGACUUUGAACUAGGAAAGUUGUUGAAUGCUUUAAGCAGCGCUAAAUGGAUCAUCCUAAUGGAAGAGUUGGAAGAAAGCAGUGCUGAGAGCAAUGUAGACUAUGGAGGCCCUGGCUCAAGAGGUUUCUGAGGGGACCAACAUUAGCAACUUGGCUAGGGACUAUUCUUGUAAAACAUGGCUUCAUUUUGCCAUUGUCUUAAGACUGCUGGAGGCUAAAUUGAAGAGUUUGAUUAAUGGCAGUGGCAGAGAUUUCAAGACAGCUUAGUACUGGCUAUGUCACAUGGUUAUUAGUGAUGAUUAUGCAGAUCUACAAUGAGAAAGAGAAAAUGGGACAAAAAAUGUACAGUUUGAGGAGAAAAAAAACAUGAAAUUUUAAUGUUGGAGUCAAAUCCUGUGCACAAAGAGAUAUGAAAUUUAAGGAAGGGUUUAAGGAGAAAUGGAAUAAAGAAGUGGUGCUCUGUGGUAGUCUGAAUGUAAUUGGCCUCCAUAAUCUCAUAGGGAGUGGCACAAUUAGGAGGUGUGGCUUU